UACAGAGGUCUCAAGCGUUGUUCGGAUUCAUUGGGCGUAAAGGGUGCGUAGGCGGCGCGGUAAGUCGGGUGUGAAAUUUCGAGGCUUAACUUCGAAACUGCAUUCAAUACUGCCGUGCUAGAGGACUGGAGAGGAGACUGGAAUUUACGGUGUAGCGGUGAAAUGCGUAGAUAUCGUAAGGAAGACCAGUGGCGAAGGCGGGUCUCUGGACAGUUCCUGACGCUGAGGCACGAAGGCCAGGGGAGCAAACGGG
rnacentral:rRNA from 1 species